CACAAUGACUUGCAAGCAACUCACUGCACUUAGGCACUGGACUACCUGAAUUUCUAAUUCAGUGACGGAAGGCUGCUGGGUGUAGUCAAGUACUUGACUUGUCGGUGCGUGUGUCAAGAUGGGAUUGACCACUCCAGUUCAGGAGCUGUGUACAGUCGUGUUUCAAUUUAGCAAAACCUUGACCAGGGUAGUCCUAGUGAGGAGUCACAGGA
rnacentral:lncRNA from 1 species